GGAGAUAUAGUUCAGCUGGUAGAGUGCCUGCCUUACAUGCACAAAGCCCUGGGUUCAAUCCCCAGCACCACCA
rfam:Ictidomys tridecemlineatus contig037767, whole genome shotgun sequence.